GACGAACGCUGGCGGCGUGCUUAACACAUGCAAGUCGAACGGAAAGGCCCUGCUUUUGUGGGGUGCUCGAGUGGCGAACGGGUGAGUAACACGUGAGUAACCUGCCCUUGACUUUGGGAUAACUUCAGGAAACUGGGGCUAAUACCGGAUAGGAGCUCCUGCUGCAUGGUGGGGGUUGGAAAGUUUCGGCGGUUGGGGAUGGACUCGCGGCUUAUCAGCUUGUUGGUGGGGUAGUGGCUUACCAAGGCUUUGACGGGUAGCCGGCCUGAGAGGGUGACCGGCCAAAUUGGGACUGAGAUACGGCCCAGACGCCUACGGGAGGCAGCAGUGGGGAAUAUUGCACAAUGGGCGGAAGCCUGAUGCAGAAACGCCGGGUGCGGGAUGACGGCCUUCGGGUUGUAAACCGCUUUCGCCUGUGACGAAGCGUGAGUGACGGUAAUGGGUAAAGAAGCACCGGCUAGCUACGU
rnacentral:rRNA from 1 species